AUGAGACUGUUGGGUCUUCUCCUUUGCCUGGUGACGGCUCCCCAAGGUGUCCUGUCCCAGGUGCAGCUGCAGGAGUCGGGCCCAGGACUCGUGAAGCCCUCGCAGACCCUCUCCCUGACCUGUGCUGUCUCAGGUUACUCCAUCACCAGUGGUUAUGGUUGGAGCUGGAUCCGCCAGCCCCCAGGGAAAGGGCUGGAGUGGAUAGGGUGCAUAAGUUAUAGUGGAAGCACUUACUACAGCCCGUCCCUCAAGAGCCGCACCUCCAUCUCCAGAGACACCUCCAAGAACCAGUUCUCCCUGCAACUGAGCUCCAUGACCACCGAGGACACAGCCGUGUAUUACUGUGCAAGAGACACAGUGAGGGGAAGUGUCCUGUCCCAGGUGCAGCUGCAGGAGUCGGGCCCAGGACUGGUGACCCCCUAG